GACGAACGCUGGCGGCGUGCCUAAUACAUGCAAGUCGAGCGAGCGGCGGACGGGUGAGUAAUUUCUGGGAAACUGCCUGAUGGAGGGGGAUAACUUCUGGAAACGGUAUCUAAUACCGCAUACCAUCAGAUUUUCCCAGAUGGGAUUAGCGAGUAGGUGGGGUAAUGGCUCACCUAGGCGACGAUCCCUAGCGGGUCUGAGAGGAUGACAAGCAACACUGGAGAUGAGACACGGUCCAGAGUCCUACGGGAGGCAGCAGUGGGGAGUAUUGCACAAUGGGCGCAAGCCUGAUGCAGACAUGCCGCGUGUAUGGAGAAGGCCUUCGGGUUGUAGAGGACUUUCAGCGAGGAGGCGUUACUCGCAGAAGAAGCACCGGCUAACUCCGUGCCAGCAGCCGCGGUAAUUC
rnacentral:rRNA from 1 species